rnacentral:tRNA from 1 species
GUAUCCCUGGUGUAACUGGCAACAUGGCGAGCUCCAAACUCGACAGAUCCGGGUUCAAAUCCUGGGGGAUGCGCCA